ACCCUUACAAAAAUUAGCCACUGCGUUUUUUAGCAGUUGAGCCUCUGCCCCAGACCUCCCUCUCUGCCCUCUGAGUCCAAUCAAACACACAGACUCUUGCCCUGUCUCACUCCAGCGGCGCCGCCGUGCCGCUCUCUUUCUCUCUCUCUUUCUUUGCACAGGAAGCCCGCAGCGGCACAAAGAAUCAGCGGCGAGGACUCUUCUCUGAUGGGGUAGUUUCCCAUUGCAUCCUCGAUCAAAAGCUGCGGUUGGCAUGGCUGUGUGAGGUGCUCGUCGAUCUCCUCGCACCGGCGUCCCUGGCACUCUCUCCCUCACAGUUGCAAGGUCUCUCUCCCUCUCGAAGGCGCUCUGUCUCUCCCUCUCUCAGCUCUGCGGCGGACGGCGGUGACGUGAUCCUCUGCCGGCGACUACCUCCUCUGCCCUGCAUUUCAGAGGUUUGCGGUAAGGACAUCAAAGCAAAUUGAAAAUAUUUCGAAACAAGCUGUUCAGAAAAGGCAGGAGUUAACGGGGCAGAUCAAGGACAUCUCGAAAAAUAUGGAAGAU